GACGAACGCUGGCGGCGUGCUUAACACAUGCAAGUCGAACGGAAAGGCCCUGCUUUUGUGGGGUGCUCGAGUGGCGAACGGGUGAGUAACACGUGAGUAACCUGCCCUUGACUUUGGGGUAACUUCAGGAAACUGGGGCUAAUACCGGAUAGGAGCUCCUGCUGCAUGGUGGGGGUUGGAAAGUUUCGGCGGUUGGGGAUGGACUCGCGGCUUAUCAGCUUGUUGGUGGGGUAGUGGCUUACCAAGGCUUUGACGGGUAGCCGGCCUGAGAGGGUGACCGGCCACAUUGGGACUGAGAGACGGCCCAGACUCCUACGGGAGGCAGCAGUGGGGAAUAUUGCACAAUGGGCGGAAGCCUGAUGCAGAAACGCCGCGUGCGGGAUGACGGCCUUCGGGUUGUAAACCGCUUUCGCCUGUGACGAAGCGUGAGUGACGGUAAUGGGUAAAGAAGCACCGGCUAACUACGUG
rnacentral:rRNA from 1 species